rnacentral:rRNA from 1 species
AGACGACGAGGUAGAUAGGCUGGGGGUGGAAGUGCAGCAAUGCAUGGAGCUGACCAGUACUAAUCGGUCGAGGGCUUAUCCUA